rnacentral:rRNA from 1 species
AGCGAACGCUGGCGGCAGGCUUAACACAUGCAAGUCGAACGCUCCGCAAGGGGAGUGGCAGACGGGUGAGUAACACGUGGGAACGUACCCUUUGGUUCGGAAUAACUUGGGGAAACUCAAGCUAAUACCGGAUAAGCCCUUAUGGGGAAAGGUUUACUGCCGAAGGAUCGGCCCGCGUCUGAUUAGCUAGUUGGUGAGGUAAUGGCUCACCAAGGCGACGAUCAGUAGCUGGUCUGAGAGGAUGAUCAGCCACACUGGGACUGAGACACGGCCCAGACUCCUACGGGAGGCAGCAGUGGGGAAUAUUGGACAAUGGGGGCAACCCUGAUCCAGCCAUGCCGCGUGAGUGAUGAAGGCCUUAGGGUUGUAAAGCUCUUUUACCCGGGACGAUAAUGACUGUACCGGGAGAAUAAGCCCCGGCUAACUUCGUGCCAGCCGCCGCCGUAA